rnacentral:piRNA from 1 species
UAUUUCUCGGUGCCAAGCAUGU